rnacentral:lncRNA from 1 species
AUUGUCUUCAACUACCCCAAAAAAAUCUCCUGGAAACUACUCUCUGAAAGAAGUUGGAGAAAAAUUAUUAAUGCACUUGAAGAAGAUCAAGAAAAAAGAAAGCGUGAGUAAUGUUUUGGCUCCAUUAUAGUUUUAUGAGAGCACCAUCACAUAUGCGGUUCGUUGCUGACCAAAACAUUGCCUCAUGCUGGAGAAGAGUAUCCGAGCAUAGUUGCUGCUUCGAGUCACUCCAGGGAGAUCUAAAAUUCCAGGUGUGACCUCACAAGGCAACUUGCAUUCUUAACUCUGUCUCAGCCCCUGAGAACCCUGAGCUUGUUGGAUAACCCAACCUGCAAAACACAGCUCACAGAUUUCUGAGAAGCCUGAAGAUUCAGGAUCAGGACCAUAGUAAGAUAUGAGUGUCUAGGUAGCAUGACAACAGCCAGAACCACUUCUCAACAAUUGUGUGAUGUGUACACAGCUGCUGCAGUCCUGGACACUCAUCACUGCCACCCAUGACUCUGGAAUUGGGUAUUGCUGUGGACAACAAUACUACUUUGUUCUGGGAAAGAAUGCCCCUUCAUCCUUGCUUCUUUGAGUCACUCAAUGGAGAUUCAAGGUCUUCCGCAUCACCUUGGUGUUCUCACUUGCGGUGUGCCCACUGCACGAGCUUUCUGCUAUUCUACUGCACAUUCACAGCUCACUUGGAAGAAACUUUAGUAAGAUUCUUGGAAUCUUUCUCACAGCAGGAAGAGUCCUAAGAGACCGAGCUACUCCUUUUACAAUAAUUGAGACACAGACCGCUGGCAAAUGAAAUUUGCCCCAAAUUUGGAAGACCAUCUCAUAGGCAUGACAACAAAAGACUCAUGUGUUUGUUUUAACUUGGUGUGGUUUUUUUUAAUUAUGGGGGUAGUUUUAUUUAUUUUCAAAUAUGUAGUAGCUACUUGCAUUACUUUUUAAUAAACCACAUGUUCAUGGUCUAUGUUUAUUUUUCUAUGAGAAGAUCUAUUUUCCUUAUUGUGUUUUAAAAAUUCUUUCAAUAUAUUAUAGAAUAUCUCUAUUCCCACCAUAUGUGUUUAUACAUUUUAAAAAUUUCUGUUUUCUUACUGUAUGCAUGAUUUUCCCUGUAAAACUUUUUAUUUGCUUGUAGUUAAUGAUAUUAAUUUACUUCAGAAAAUCAUUCACGUGUAAAUAUUCUACAAAACUUGUCUCAUGUUUACUUUGAAUACUUUUAUAGUUCGAUCUUUAUGUUUAAAUCCUUGACCACCUAAAACGUACUUUGAAAUAAUGGGUGGAGUGGAAAUCCAGUAUUUACUCCUUGAAUUGCCGGUAAUCAGUCUAAACAUCAUUCGCUGAAUUACUAACAUUUCUUAAGUGAUGUGGAAUUCUGCCCUUAUCAUUUGUAAAAUUCUCAAAGGCAUUGAGUUUAUCUUUUAUUCCAUUGAGAUGUGUGCAUUUUCUCACCAUUAAUGUAUGUUCUAAUUAUGUUGACAUAUUUUUGUGAUAAUUUUGGUGGAAUUAAAAUGUGUCAUGGGUAACUCUCCCAUGACAAUUUAUCAUCAAUAUUUUCCUGGAAAACCUCAAAUGCUUACUUUAUCAGUUGGUAUGUUCAAUUUCAUUAAUCAUUGGAUUUUUAUCUCAUGGGCUUCCAACUUACUCUUCAUUGUUUAUCACUAAAACCCACUAAAAUCUCCAUUUUUUUUUUUUUUUUUUUGAGACAGGAUCUCGCUCUGUCGCCAGGCUGGAGUGCAGUGGCGCAAUCUUGGCUCACUGCAACCUCUGCCUCCUGGGUUCAAGUGAUUCUUCUGCGUCAGCCUCCUGAGUAGCUGGGACUACAGUUGCAUGCCACCAUGCCCAGCUAAUUUUUGUAUUUUUAAUAGAGACAGGGUUUCACCAUGUUAGCCAGGAUGGUUUUGAUCUCUUGACCUCGUGAUCCGCCUGCCUUGGCCUCCCAAAGUGCUGGGAUUCCAGGCGUGAGCCACCACGCCCGGUCUCCAUAGUUUUUAAGAGCGCCGUUAGGCUGGAUAUUCCUUAUACUCUGUUCCUAAUACUGUCAGUUCCUUAGGGAGGACUUUGGAGCUCUCUAUUCUUAUAGCCUGCCUCUCACUUUUGGAAAAUCACUGAGUUCCUUCUAAGGAGCUGUUUUGGAAAGAGUGGUUCACUUUUCUCAGAGUGACAGCCCUGCUUUACCAACUGGGCUCUGACCAUGAGCCAGAACAUCCUCUGAUGUUGUUGGCAGGCAUUCACUGGCAUGAAAAUUCUGCCUGGCAAAUGAGCUGUGCCGAGGGCUAUGGGGGUCUCAGCAUUCUUGACCUACAAUGCCUGGGAUAGAACCUCUCCACUACAAGUAGUGUUGGGUGGAAGAAUGGAGCUCUGUACCUCUUCAUCACACUCACCUGGAAUCUCUGCAAUACAACCUUGGAAUGGGUUUGAGAGAUGCUGGCAACCUUUUGCCUCUGGUGAGAUAUCAUAACCCUUUAAAGGGAAGUGAGAGGAAAGAGACUCUCCCAUUACUUGGCUAGAUGUGCCCUGAGUGAAGCUUCCCUCAUAUUGAGCUAGGAUAUAGAAAGUAUAGAGUGGGUUAUGACUCAAAUGCUGUAGACACUCUGUGUUCUUUCAAGGUUUAGUAGAGUUUUAAAAAUAAAUGUAUGCACUUAAGACAAUUCCCAAAGACUUCAAGUGGCUGUUUUAAAAAAUAACUUUUAUCAAGUAUGAUUGUUUGGUUUGAGGGUAUUUCCAUGGAUCUCCUUACACUGCUAUUCCAGAGGAGAAGCCACCAGGUCACUCAACUCUUAGUAUCAUCUACUGGAAACUGGCUAAGACAGUAUUUAUGUGCUUCUCUCACAAUAACAGGAAGAUAACUAUAUCACACAAUGGAUAUGGCAGUUGGCUUGACUGCAGUAAUCAUUUAACUAUGUAUAUGUAUAUCAAAACAUCAUGUUGCAUACCUUAAAUAUGUACAAUAAAAAUAAAAUCUAAAAGAAAUAAAAUAAAAAUAACUUUC